AGAAGGAAACUUGGGCAUCGCCUACCAAUUUGGGCUGAUGGGAAUUUGCCCUCCAGAGCAGUAUCAAGGUGGCGAGCAAGAAUAUUAUGAGCAGGGAUUUUAUGAACACUAGCAGCAGGAGGAGCCACAUCAGGAGGGGUAGGACGACUUGGACUAGAGACCGAAGGAUUGAAUAAAAGCGCACACGUGUGGUUUGAAUUUUUCUUUUCCUUUAUUUAUUUCGACAUGUGUGAGUUUGGUGUGCAUAGUAUUUUCUAUUUUCUUUAUUUUUAGUUUGUGAGUUUGUUUUUAUUUCACCAUCGCAUGCACCUGAAACUAAUGACAUAUGAUUAAUCGUGAUGGUUUAAGUUUUUGUCAUGAUGAAAGGUGAUGAUCGUUGCCACUCUAUUUAAUUUUUAUGCUUGUUUAUUGCACCAUUGAACUAAUGCUCUCUUUAACACAAUCUGAAAUAAUUUAAAUACUAGCUUAUCUUUUUAUGGAGGUUAUGAUAAUUUGAAUCCCCCACAUCUCUCUCUCUAUAUAUAUAUAUACGUAUUGCUCUCUCUUUUAAAUGUAUUAAAGACUAUUUUCUUUUUGUUCAUCAUUGCUCUGCCUUGUCA
rnacentral:lncRNA from 1 species